rnacentral:sRNA from 1 species
CACACACACACACACAGAGAGUGAGAGAUAGUCAGACAGACAGGCAGAAAAACAGUAACAACAAAAUCCACGUUCCCCCUCAUGAUAGCUCCCAGCAUACUGCACCUCUUCAGCCGGACUAAGCUUUGUCUUCACUUUGUUAACAACAACAACAACAACAAAACAACCAAAACCAAAACAAAUCCCAAACCCACAAACAUUGCAAAUAAGGCCUGAUUCAUUUAUUCACGGCGUGUGGGAAACUAAGCCACAUUCAGCAGCAGCCCUGAGACCUCAUAGGGACCAGAAGCAGAUCCUGGAUGAAUGUUCUCAAGUAUGUUACAGAUUUUCCCCGAGUUGCUUCAUUAUACACCCGAGGUGCUGAAGUUUGGAGCAGGGGGAUAUCUCAGAAAGACGAACUGGUGUAUGUGCUCAGGCUGUGGGCUUUUCACGCAGUCGGCUUGGGUGAGUCAAGUUAACUGUAAGCAGUGUUAUCCUUAUGCUCACCUUCUGGAGGACCAGGAAACGUCUACCUCUCUCACAUGGAUCACCGCAAAGAACGGGCAUUAAUCAAUACUUGCGAUCAAUGGAUAUAAUGUGUUUAAAGUUGAAAACAAAAGGCAGAAAAAACACUUUCCAUUUAGUUUUAAGAACAUGGUUUUCCUCAUUGAUUUAUUCUCAUGAAAAUUACAACUUAGUUAGGAUUGUACUAGCUGAUAAGGGUUUUUUGUUUGUUUGUUUUCCUGUCUUUUACAUUUUUUAUUUUCAAUUUUUUUUGUAGCUAGUGAAAAUUGGAGCCAGAUGUAUGUUGCUCAAGGGAGCUGAAGAUGUGAAUUGCCAAAUGUCCAAAUGUACAGUCAGCUCGUGGGUCUCAAAGCCUUGUCCUCUACCCCGGGCUAAAAGCCUAUUCUUCCAAGCAACCUCAUUUCCCUGCACAAGCUGUUGAAAAACCCAGUUUCUUGUGGCUAGAUAAAAACUGGAGAGAACAGAGGGGCAUGGAGUAUCUGUGGGAAACGUGUGCUCCCUACCAAGUCUUCCAGCAGAGCCCUGCUCUACCAGACCAUUGCCACCCACAACAUCAGCACUGAGGACAUAGCCUCGCAGUAGUAAGAAGUAUACACUAAAAUAUUUAGCACAACUCAGCUUAAGAGACCUGGCCCCUGAUUUUGUUUAGCUUUGCUUCCGAGCCAAAGAGUGGACUGCUGUCAUGUAAGACCCACCUACCUGUCGCAUCAGGUGGGGAAGACACUUAGCAAUGAGGCAUGAACAGACAUUUAGGGACACAGGCAGGGCGCCUGCCAUGGCCUACCAGAUAAACCCUUCCUUCCAGACUGAUAGCCAGGAAUGCCAUUUUCUUGUUCGUUGAGUGUAAAUCUUUUUCUUUCUACCCAAAAGCUCCAGAGCCUAGCUGUACAUCCUUACUUACCCAUGAGCUGAGCAAGCCGAAAAGAUUGACGUGGGCUUUUGCAAACACGAUCAGCUUAGGCGCUCAACACCGUCAGCAAAUGGAACAUAAAGUUAAUUGCUUCACCAGUGGAAGAGUCGCUUCGCUGGCGUUCUUCAUGGGCAGACCUUGGUCUGCUUCAUGCACUGUGGAGCUCAGCAGAAAUUACCAGUGCUUACAUGUCAGGAGGACUUGUUUCUGUUGGAAUUUCUUCCCCGUGUGGCAUUAAUAAUUUAUGAAUAGGCCCAUAGAUAAAAACCACGAUGUACAAAGCACCAAGUAACUGGCAUAAACAGAACUAAACUGGUCAAUAAAGGUAAGAGGAAACGAAAAAGAUAACGUUAAAAUUAAAGUAGGUAUUAUGUGAACUAUGAACAUGAUCUUUUAUGUAUUAUAAAUAAACAGAAAAUACAAAACCCAAUCAUGUAGGGUCACAGAACCACAGGUGGCACGUGUACUAUUUUUUUCUUCUGUUAUAUGCUUGUUCUGUAGCAGGUGGGACUUUGAGAUGAUAAUCUAGCUAAAAAUAUUUUAAAAAUAAGUGUUUAUGGACUCAUCUAGUUAGAGAAGACUUAUCCAUUUCACCCUUGUCCUUGUGUGCUGUCAACAGAAUUGCUAGCAAAGUUUAGGGAAUGCAGGAACUUUAUUACCUAAUGAUACAAGAAAGUAAGAAGGGAAAACCCAGGUUUAUUUUGCUAUGUUGGCAGUUAGAGAAGAAAAACAAUUUUUUUUAAAUUUGACAAUUGGGGAAAUGGUAUAACAAGUGAUCUUGAUAUAGGAGGAGUGGAGCUUGCCAGCUUCCUGCUUACUGACUUACUGGAUCACAUGGAGUUCUCUGUCAAUUAGAUACAACAUAAUAUGAGAUAAAAAGGGUAUUGGAUUCUUCUAAUCAGCUGCAUUACAAGGGCAAAGUUCUAAGUUAACGCUUUGUUGUUUGAACUGUAGUUUAUUGUUGAGUGUGUAUUUUAUACAUUCAUUUAAUAUCUGUACUUACUUAUUUUUCUCAUAUCCAUCAGAAAACUCCAUCCCUCACAGAAAUUCAAUAUGUAUAAAUCAUAUUUUUUAUCAUUAUAUAUCUGAGAUGCUUUGAAGAUAUGAAUGAAUUGAUAUUGUACUUUACUUGAAAAUGGAAUUAUGGCCCAAAAGAACCCUCAAAACUUCAAAUAUCAAUGGUAAUGAAGGUGUUUAAUUCUACACAUGAAAGUGCCAAAUGCUGGAGACUCAAUUUAGUACUUUAAGUUCACAGCAAUUUUUAUUAAAUAAAAGCCUUGGUGAGAAAAUACGUUAAACCCCAGCACACAAGAGGCUGCUCACUAAGGGCCAUUGCAAUCCUAGAUGUCAUUUAGUAUUUACUAUGCAGUUUGCACCAGGGUAGGCCCUAAGGAGAGUCAUUGAAAUACAAGACAGAUCUUGCUCCUAAUGAAUUCAACACACUGCUAACAGGAGGAAGGAAGGAGUCCAGGAAAUGAUCAGAAUUUAAGGUUUUCAAUAAGCCAUUUAUGGAGCAAGGACGAAUGCAUGAAGACUCGGCAAUAUAUUCACUGGGAAGGUUUUAUCAAGCUCAAGUAGCUGGAAAAGAGGCUGAAGGUCAGUGGGGGAAUUAUCUUCAAAAAAGAUGCAAAAAAUCUCUUCAGCUUCUCCCUACCUCUCUCUAAGUCUUCCCUGUGCUUCCUCUCCUGUGUAUCUUUUUCUAAAACACAAUGACUUUACUUAUGUUUGUUAAAACUUGUAUUCAAAAUGCCCAUUUUGGCUCCAGUUAUAGCUGUAUUUUAUCUCCACCCCAAGGAAAAAAUAAUGUUGAGCCUCCUGGCCAGGUAAAUCUCAGCCUUAUGACGAACACACAGCAAACUCUGUAAUUUCCCACUUAUGAAAGAAUGUUUGAUUGAACACCCAUGCUCCCCCCCCCUCUCUCUCUCUCGCUCUCUCCGCUCUCUCUCGCUCUCUCUUGCUCUCUCUCGCUUUCUCUUGCUCUUGCUCUCUCAUCCUCAGUGGAGUGUAAAUUUCACAAGGGCUCAUUGGCCCUCAUGGAUCUCAGGACUCAAGUUUUGAGCACAGAGUUGGUGCUCAAUAGCUACUGGUAGAGAGAAAGACUUAGCUCUUCCUUAACCAAGGCAAGGUUCAGCAAGACUUGCCCACUGUUCUUCCACUCUGUUUCACCUUUAUGAUGCAUUUAUCAUCCUCAGAAUCAGAAAGCAUUUGCAGUCUUAUGUUAUCCUACACCGUAAGAUAAGGGCAGUCUUGAGGUCUAUGUAUCAAAUGUUGGUUCAUUCAGUUACUUCUUCCUCAUCUAUUCAACAAUACCACCAAACUCAUGGUUGGCACUGUUUUAUAUCUGGAAUACCAAUAUGCUAUAAAAAACAAUACAGAUCUUUGAACAGGAUACAAUUCUAGUUUCAAAUACACCCAUUUGCCAUUUCAUGUUUCUUUUUUAGACUGUAUGUUAGCUUAUAUUGAUCGCCAAUUUAACAGGUAAUAGAAUGAUCUUGGAGAUGUUUAGGAAGGAUUUUGUAGAUUAGGUCAAUUGAGAUGGGAAGAUAAACCUAAUUGAUAAUGAAAGAAAAAAAAAAUAACAAGCUGAACACUAUAGCACUCAUCACUGCUUCCUGACGACAGCAGCAUGAAAUAUGGUCAGCUACUUCCUGCUUUGGCUCCCAUACCUUUUCUGCCAUGAUGGAGUGUAUCUCUAGGACUGUAGGCCAAAAUUAAACCCUCAUCAGGUACUGUGCCCGCAUAAUAAGAAAAAUUACUAAGACCGAUGUACCGAUGCAAGCUUUUGCUAUGUAGCUCAGGGUGGCUUCAUACAUAGGAUUCCCCUGUCUCAGCCACUGAGUGUUAGUAUUAUCACUGUACUCAACCUAGUCUUACCACGUUAUGUGUUGACUUUAUGUCAUAUCAAUCUAUCAAUCAUAUACACAUAGGGACCUACAUAUAAAGUUGUUUAUAUGAUAAAGAGAUACAGAGACUAGUAAACUAUUAUUAGUUAAUACAGGUAUAUUAAACAUGAUGUCUGCUAUGAAAUGGUAAUGCAUUGGUAAACUCCCCAUGAUAGCACUCAGAAGAAUGUGGUAUUUUUCAAAGCCAUGAAUUUACUAUCUUCAACCUUUCAUUAUUCAAUCUGUAACUGGAAUGCUUUUUUUUUUUUUAUAAUUGCUUUUAUGACUAAUUUAAGUUCUCAGAAAAAACCCCGAGGUCAGUAUCAGGUACACACCUGUAAUUUUAUACUGCAACUUAUUAUUAGAAUAUGCAAAAUAAUGUCAUUGGGGUUUGAUGAUCAUUAUGGAAGGGGAGCUACCUAAGGGUUCAUACCAUGCUCAUAGCAUGUAUAUAAGCACAUCUCCUUCUAAUGACACAGGGACAGCAUACACACACCAUAUGUACCAGCUUUGAGAUGGCCAUUUCAACAGGCAAAAGAAGAAGUAUAAAUGGCCAGUAAAUAAAAGUCAAGUACAAUUCAGCCUCAUUGCUAAAAUAAUGCAAACUAAAAUUGUAUCUAUACUUAGAAAUACCAAGGAAAUAAGAAAGAAAGAGCACUUUGGCAGAUACUGUCACAGAAUAGUUCUAUCUCCACUCAGGAGAAGACAGUCAACUGUCAGAAAUGUCAGAAGAGUUGUUUGUUUAAAUAAGUACAAUAUGGAUUCUUUAAAUUUUUCAUAUUUAUUUUCUUGGAGAAUAUAAUUAUGUCCUUGGAAGAAAUCAUAUAAUUUUUAUAAUAUAGCAUUUAUUUUAAAUCAUCAUAAUGCAUAAAUAGAACGAGUCAAAUAUAGUCACAGCAGAAAAUAGAAUUUGUCUGCUCAUCACUGACCUGAUUUCUAAGCAUAACCACUUUUAUAAGUAUUUCUAGCUACUUACUGUAGUAUUUGCCUCAUUUUCUCCCACAUGCUUUUAGUAAGAGUGCCUGGUUAGGAACCAACCUUAGAAACAUGAUAAGCCAGGUUCACAGAGAUUAGGGAUGAAAUGUUUAUACCGCUGGUAUUUGUAGUAACAAGAAAAUUGGCAUUGCCAGGUAUUUAGGCUGUCUGAAUAAGUGAUUACUAAAUGCACAACAUAAUAUUAAGCAGAGAUAUACUUAAUGAAUGAUAAUUAUUAAAUAAACAAAUUAUACAAGUAUACAUAAGAAUAUAGGUGGGGAUUAUUUUUAGAUUGUGGGUACUCUUCAGGCAAAGUUUAUUUUGUACGAUUAACUGACUCCAAAAAUUCUCUUUAAUAAACAUGAUUGCUCAGAAACAUGAACAUUUGGUUUAAUGCUUCUAUUUUAUCUUUGUGUUUAAUUCCAUGUAAUGUGACGUGGGGCAUCAUGGGAAGGAUUGGAGAGAAGGAGCUACUUUAGUGAUGAAUCUUUAAGAAACAUCAUUGCCUAUUUUAAAAUGCUUAUUUUAUUUUUAUUAGUUGUUUGAAAAUUUCACACAAUGUGUUUUGAUCCUAUGUAUCCCCUCCAUAACUUUUUCCAGAUCCCCCUGCUUCUCUAUUGUGCAGACUAAAGUUUAUGUCAACUUGAAACAAACUUGUGUCAUUUUGGAAGAAGGAACCGUAAUUAAGAAAAUGCUCCUACCAGAUUGGCUUGUGGACUACAAUUUCAAAUUUCCCUUGGGGCUGGUGUGUUUAUGCAAUUAAGGUCUUGCCAAGAGACCGUCAACGUAAGUGACAUUUGUAACCUUUCUUUGCCUGCUCAACGUCCUCUACUUUCAGGCUAGAUCCUUAAAUCACUGUGUGGAAUGGAGCCACCCCACUGAUCUGCAACCUCCAGCUAGGAAUGUUAAAUGACAAAGAACUAAGCCACUUUUUGGAAAACAUUUGCUACAACAGCCAGGGUUGGUAUGAUGAAUACAAGUGUCCUAUCUACUUUGCAGGACUAAGAGAAAUAGUAUGUGUAAGGAAGAGAAACAGCCCUGGGAGGUAGCAGGGCUAUAAAAAUUGUCACUAUUAUUAUUAAUACAGAGAAAACAAAUGUCUAGUAGAAUUUCUGACAUACCACCCAUACUUAACAUUUAUUUAUUGAGUGAAUAAAUGAACAUCUUGUAGAAAAAAAAGCCUGAAGUGAAGAAAUCUCCAUGAAACAACAGCACUGGUAAAUUAUUUGUACGGGGAGAAAUCUUUCAUUUAUUUGGAUUCAUACAAGUUAAGCAAAGCUUCUUGGGAUGCACUUUUUUUUUCCAAAAUAUUUUUGUUUUUUUUCUAAGAUAUUUUUUACCAUCAAAAGAGACUAUAAAGUACUACACAUCAUUUUUGACAAAAGAGAACCUGUCUUUAGUGCCACUAUACAAAUCCAUUUAUUUCAUUUUUG